UUCGAAAAUCGAAGGUUUCAGUCGAUUUCCCUCGAAGUUAUAUUGUUCUGAUAUGGAAAAAGCAUGGGUUUGGCUUCCAAGGGCUAGCCUCGAAUAUUUCGAAGGAGCAACAGGCUUUGUUACUGCAUCAGCGAGGAGGUUAGGAGAUCCGACAGAAAUAUUAUGUCCCUGUACUCACUGCAGAAACCUUUCCCAUCAAGUUUUAGACAAAGUAACGGAGCAUCUUGUGAUUAGGGGUAUGGAUAAGAAGUAUAUGAGGAGUUCUUGUUGGAGUCUUCAUGGUGAGAGAAGGUCUGAUAUGAAUGAUAGUGUCCCUCA